ensembl:lncRNA
UACUUGCUAAACAAACUCAAGACACUCUGGUCUCUUGGUGAGUCUCAACUGCCCAUUCCAGAGAUUAUCUGAGCCCCUCUCCCUUUAGAGCCCCUGCUCUGUUUAUGUAGCCUGAAUGUGUGAAUGCAUAUGCAUCUUACAACAUUUCAACAGUCUCACCCAUGUCUAUUGCCAAGUCCAGAGGUAGCCUUUACGAAGAAAGGAAUGUUGAAUGCAGUACUAACUGAAUACACUUUCAGCUUUGAUGCCUUAAGGCAAGGGCAGCAGAUGGUUAACAUGUUUCACUCAUCCAGAAACUUAUACACAGCUAAUUUCCAGCAAUUAAUAGGCACUGGGUAAUCUGAUCCUUGGGCAUGACUCUUUUACUGUCUUCUACAGUCUAUAAGUCUCAUCGGGAUUCAUGGUACUGAUGGUGGGAGCACCUGAGGAUGAGACUGUAUGUAAGGUAAGCAUUUUGGGGUGUACAUGGGUGGGAUGUGAACAGAGGCAAACGGUAUGUGUGGGCACGGUGUGGGCAAAACAGCACUGGGAAGCAUCUGCUGUGGCAGUAGGACCUCAACAUACUGGCAAGUUUCUGGGUCAAACAGCAUCUUGCACUGUGGCAAUUGAGGCAUGACUACAUAGAAAUAGCAGCCAGUUUCCGGGUCUAGUAACAGUUGGCAGGGGUUUUGUCCUGCUGCUACACUUCCUCCUGUUUCUGGAUACAGCACACCUGUACCCCCAGGCCUGGCCUCUACAUUCAUGGAAGCAACAAAGAUUGUGUUGUGUUGGCUUUCUGGAGAAGUCAUUUUCAACCCUGCUUCCCCAUUCUGAGCUUGACUGGUUGAGCCAUCUGUUGGAUAGACUAGCAUUUUUUCAUCCUCAGAGAGGGAUCUCAGUAGGGGGGUAUGACUGAUUGAUGCAGAAGGCUGGUUGUAAAGAGGUGUUUGAAACAAGACAGGCCCUUGAACAUAGCCAUGAACAGCUCCAAUAUGAGGAGAGAUUGUCUAGUAACCCAGUGGAUUGGGUUUGUAAUAAUAUGAGGGAACCAUUGGUGUUGAAGCAACUGUUAGGAGGACGCAAGCAGAUAGAGGCCCCACUAAACUCUGUGACCUGGGAGGAAGACAUGGGGUCUGAAGGCCAUCACUAACAGUAUGACUUUUGCCAUUUGAUUCCACUGGAGGCAUUACCUUAGUCAAACAUCCUCUUAGUGCAAAGUGAUCUCUCCUUCUGUCCAGUGAAAGAGGUGGCGUGACUUUCUGUACCAGGGGGUUUUCAUCUCGUCUGUAUCCUUUCCCUUUCCUUCACCCAUGUUGUUGCAUAGAUUGUGCAUUAAUGGCUGAAACAAAGGAGCACUCCCAUUUUUUUCAUGGGCUGAUUCCCCUGUGCCCUUGAAGGACAUGUUGUAUGUGUUUUUCACUAGGUUUCUCAUAUCUCUUACUACAUGCACAGAGGCCAUGGCUUUCAAUUUGCCUUGGCUUUGCAUAUCUAGGAUUGCAGACUGUCCUGGAGUCUUGACUUUCUCUCUGUCACUCUCUUGCUCCUUUCCAACACUGCUCUCAUCAGUUUGAGGCAUUAUAUUAUCCACUACAUUUGCUUCCAAAUCAGAGAUUAGGCAUGCAAUAUUAGUAGGACUGAGUGUACCUUCCAUAAUGCCAGCCUGUUCUGUCCUGCUUUUCCAGCACAUUGGUAAGGGUCAUAUUGUGUUGUCUAUGGAUUCCUUGCCCUGUAUGGCAUUCUUCAGGUGUGGUUUUCAUAGAAGCCUGUGUGCUGAUAGCUACAUUUGUUGCUACACUCAAAUUCCAUGCUCUGCUUUUUGCUGAGUCACAGAAUAGCUUCACACCAGGGCACAGGUUAGGCAGCCGGAACAUGUUCUCUCUUGGACUCAACUUCUCUGCUUUCUCAUUCUCUGAAGGGUCCAUUAUUUCAGUGCAACUGCCUUGAACUUCAGACCUGACAAUUGCACUUAAAAGAGGAUUGAAGUCAUGUUUGCUCAGCAGCUUGGGCUGCGUUUUAAAGUUAACCCUGCAAUGCUUUUGAACAGGGCUGCACUCUCUCUGGGCCUCCCUCUUAAGAGUAGCAUUUUGGUUUAGUUUGGUAGUUUCAGCAAAUACAUCCUUGUCAGACAAAUAGAUGCAUUCAUCAGUGGUAGUAGUCCUGUUGCUCACUUUGAUAGAAGUAAAGGCUUUAUCAGAAACAUCCAAGGUGUGAAGAUUCUGUUCAUGUUGCAUUUUUUUUGUUAAGACAUUUGUUAUGAUGCAGGAAGCCAUCUGGGUUUUGCAGGAGGUUUCAUCCAGGGAAAAUUACUUCUGAAGCCUUUGCUUUCUGUCAGCCUGUACUGACCUUUGAUCAGCCACAUGGGACUCCUGGUGUGUUUGCAACCUGAAGGCUUUGAUUGCUGCUCUCUCUGGCAUGUGCCUCUGUUGAGUCGCGUCUCUUCAGUUGGAUUUGUCUUUUGGGCACAGUCUUUAAGCCUUGGUUUACUUCAUCUGUAGUUUCCAAUGCCACAGCAACACACUCAAAGCUACUGGAUUCUGAGCAAGCAGAUGUGUUUUGAGUGUUUGAAUACAUCUGAAUUUUAAAAGAGAGAGCUUCAUCUGUCUAAUUGUUGUAGUUUUCAUCAGCAGAGGGCUGACUUGAGGGCCUACAGUUGAAAACAUGCAUGUAGUCAGUUUCAGAACAGGACGCUCUUACCUGGGACAGGUUAACAAGGCCCCCCACCUUACUGCUGGCCUCAGCAAGCUUUGUUCCCAUGCUGGUUGAUCCUCUGCUAUUGCCUGUGGUGUGGCAGGGUUGCCAAGUGCUGCUACACAAUAUAAGGGAGAGUGGUCUGGACUGCCAGGCGCCUUGCCGGCAUUGCUUUUCCAACGUCUGAGUAUCAGCGAGUCUCUGUAGCAAGUGUUGGUGCCUGGUUGCAGGGAUACCCUCUGAAUAACAGUGAAGUGGGAUUCUUGACUCCUGCUUGCUGGCUGUGAGUGUUGAGAUGCAGUUUGCAGAUGCUUUUCUAUUUCUAGACCUGACUGACAGCUCAACAUGCUCCUUUCUGCAACUCACCCUGCUACCCUGGCCUUCCCACUCCUUUUCCUUAUGACCCAGAAUAUGCCCGC